UGAGUCCAGUGGAGUGAAAUACCGGGUAUAGGCACUUAGAUAGUUGAGCACUAGAUCACUGUGGAGUUUUUUGUCUGAACUCUAUAGGUAGAUAGAUGGUCCUUAUUUAUCCAUCCAUGCAUUAUCCAUCUAUGCAUGCAUGCAUACAUCCAUCCGUCCAUUGUCCAAAAAAGAGUUACUGAGCACCUCCCCUGUGCUAGGCUCUGCCAGAGGGUUGGUGUUGUGGGAUGAAUCUUCCCGUCUAGUACAGAUAAUAACAAACUAGCCAGCGAGGUUAGAGCAGGUGCUAUGCUAUGAUGAGGAUAAGGAGAGUUAGUGAUGGACGCCAUGGGAUGCCGACAGUCAUGGACAUGCUCCCCAAGGGAGUGGAUUAGACCAGAAGGAGCCAGGCUGGCUUAAAGCCUCGGCAGCGGAAUUCCGGGCAGAAAGGGCUACAGGUCCUAAGACCCAGGGCUGGACCAGCUGCUGGAACCAACAGGAGCCCGAGCCUCCCAGUGAGGCAAGGUCAGAAAGUCAGGGCUCUGAUUCACGUGGGCAGAGAGCACGCUGGCUGCUGCUGGAAAAUGGUUCGCCGGGGACAGGGAUAUCAACAGCAAGAGUGGCACAGAAACUCUUCUGCACCCAAAUCACUGCUCACUGGGAUUUAUUCAGCCUUGGAGUAACGCUAAAAAGGUGAGGAGGAAAAAUGCAGUUCGGUGAAAUUCACCUCUCAGAAAGGACAGGACUAUAAUUUUAGGCACUGUUACCAGAGAUACAGUGGUAAACAGGACAAGGUCCUGCCCCCAGAGAACUGAAAUCUGGAGGGAGAGAGAGAGGCAGGCAAACAGGCAAGUACCGUCAGAUGUGAUGCGGGAUCCUUGAAGCCAGCAGCGGGGUCACGAGAGUACAUUUUGCGGGAUUCGAGCUGGUCGUAAAGAGUCCAGGAAGAGCUCUGGACGAAGUGACUUCUGACAAGCAAUCUGGAGCUCACCUGUUGUUAGAAGGAAAUACUCUAGUGUUUGGAGGCUGGGACAUCAAUUCAUAACGUGUAUAUCAGCCAGCCUGUCGCUGUCAAUAAUGUGACAAACCCAGCCAGAAUCCGCCCCUUGCUUGGCCUGUCAAAUGAGACAUCACCUCCUGCAGCUGCCUGGCGUUCAGGACUUCAGAACAUUCAUGUCUGGAACCCACUGUGAGGUUCCUUUUGGACCUGAGAGGCAUGAGUGAGGCUGAGGUCUGUUGCGGUGACCCUUUCUCCUGUGGUGACGGUGCCCAGACGCAGACGUCCUGGACCCACAGCAUCCUUGUCUGGUUCUCACGUGAGGCUGCCCGGCUUCACCAUGGCCUUAACCGUGGACCUGCUGCCCGGACACACCGUGUUCCUCCUCCGUCUCCUAGGAGCUCUGCCCACUGCCCUCGCUGACAUCUGAGUGUGCAAAGUGGCCGUGUUUAUCCGAUUUGGCAAGUUGUGGAGUUGAGGCCAUACCACGCAGCAUGCGGGAUCCUAGUUCCCUGACCACGGAUUGAACCAGCACCCCCUGCAGUGGAAUUGCGAAUUUCUAACCACUGGGCUGCCAGGGAAGUCCCCGUCCUUCAUUAUAAAAAGGUGGCUGAAACAGAAUGAGAAGCGAGGGGAAGACGUGUCAUACCUGUCAUCCCUGAGACCUGCUCCGCCCCACACGGCGACCCUGAGCAUCAAGUGGCUGGUGAAGCAGCCACCGGAGACGUGGCUUGUCUGAAGUGUUGGAAGAGUGCAAAAGGCACAUCGGAUUUCAAAGACGUAGCAUGGAAAAA